UGGGGAAUCUUGGACAAUGGGGGCAACCCUGAUCCAGCGACGCCGCGUGGGUGACGAAGGCCUUCGGGUUGUAAAGCCCUUUUGUCGGGGACGAUGAUGACGGUACCCGGCGAAUCAGCACCGGCUAACUCCGUGCCAGCAGCCGCGGUAAGACGGAGGGUGCUAGCGUUGUUCGGAUUUACUGGGCGUAAAGGGCGCGUAGGCGGCCUUCUCAGUCGGGUGUGAAAGCCCGGGGCUCAACCCCGGAACGGCACCCGAGACGGGUUGGCUGGAGACCGGGAGAGGAGGGUGGAAUAGCCAGUGUAGAGGUGAAAUUCGUAGAUAUUGGCUGGAACACCGGUGGCGAAAGCGGCUCUCUGGCCCGGUUCUGACGCUGAGGCGCGAAAGCGUGGGGAGCAAACA
rnacentral:rRNA from 1 species